rnacentral:tRNA from 1 species
GGUAAAAUGGCUGAGUUAUAGGCGAUAAAUUGUAAAUUUAUUAAGGAGAUAAUUUCUCUUUUACCA